rnacentral:misc_RNA from 1 species
GGAUAUAGGUGCGCACUAGAGAGAAUUGUUUGCCCAUUGGAUUUUUUUCAAUUAUUGUUAACAGUGAAUUUAAAUUAUCAGUUGUAAUGUUAGUGACAAACAGACAGGCUUUUCUCAGAUAGUUUAAUGUAGGGACCUUGUCUUUAACUGGAUAUAAAGUGCUGUUUCAGUUCUCUCUCAUUUGAAUGGAUAAAUGGGGAAAUAAUAGGCCUCUUACAUUCGAAAGUGGAUUCUUCUGUUCCAUCUCUUAGAUCAUCUAGAUUAUAACUUACAGAUUUUGAGUCUGACACUACUAUCUGCUUAAAAAAUUAUCUAUAUUUGUUAACAUUCAGAAAACUUGAUUUAAUUUAUCAAUCACAAUAAUAGCCCAAGGGAAAGAGUCUACUAGAAUGUUUAUGUAGGCUUAAAACCAGAUGCUAAAAUACAAAACUCUAGUAAAUACCAAUAUAAUAUCAAAACUCUACUGUUCUAAAAUAAUAUCCAAAUAUGGCCCCUAAAAUGGAAAUUAUAAUAUUUCAAAUCUUCUUUUGUAUGCCAAAGGCUGAUAUGCAAUACUAGGCUAGAACUUGGUCCAUUUAAAUAAUUUUUAACUUUGAAAGAACUUUUCUUGUCUAGCCUUUUUUACGCUCUUAGAUUUCUGAAUUGGAUCCUGUGAUUUCUAUGAACUUUUCUGUUUAAUUGACUUCAAUCUCUC